rnacentral:rRNA from 1 species
ACGGGCCCGCACAAGCAGCGGAGCGUGUGGUUUAAUUCGAUGCUACACGAAGAACCUUACCAGGGUUUGACAUGCAAGUGGUAGGAAACCGAAAGGUGACCGACCCUUCGGGGAGCUUGCACAGGCGCUGCAUGGCUGUCGUCAGCUCGUGUCGUGAGAUGUUCGGUUAAGUCCGCUAACGAGCGCAACCCUCGCUGUGUGUUAUAUGUGUCACACGGGACUGCCGGUCUUAAGCCGGAGGAAGGUGGGGAUGAUGUCAAGUCAGCAUGGCCUUUAUAUCCUGGGCUACACACACGCUACAAUGGCCAGCACAGUAGGUUGCUAAGCCGCGAGGUGGAGCCAAUCCAUAAAGCUGGUCUCAGUUCAGAUUGCAGGCUGCAACCCGCCUGCAUGAAGAUGGAGUUGCUAGUAACCGCAGGUCAGCUAUACUGCGGUGAAUACGUUCCCGGGGCUU